CAAAUUUAAAAUCUACCUGGUUUACAGGUCGAGUUGUAAUUUGAAGAUACGUUUUUGACGUUCCGGGUUGAACUAAAUCCUUUGGGAUAAGGUAUCAUGGAGGGUGAGAAUCCCGUAUAUACCAACCRYAGGGAUGUUAUUUAAUACGUUUCUAAGARUCGAGUUGUUUGGGAAUGCAGCUCUAAAUGGGUGGUAAAUUUCACCUAAUGCUAAAUAUAAGCGAGAGACCGAUAGYGAACAAGUACAGUGAUGGAAAGAUGAAAAGAACUUUGAAAAGAGAGUUAAAUAGUACGUGAAAUUGUUGAAAGGGAAACGAUUGAAGUCAGUCAUGCCMGUGGGAAUCAACUUAGAGGAAACUCUGAGUGCACUUCUUCGCUUGGCAGGUCAACGUYGAUUUUGGAUGUCAUAAAAUGAUUGGGGGAAGGUAGCUCCUUCGGGAGUGUUAUAGCCCUUGGUAGAUGUGAUGUCUGGGAUCGAGGAUUGCAAUGGAUACCCUUUGGGGCUAGCCGCCUGAUCUCUAAUYGGUAUUGGGUUACGGAUAGCAUGCUGACCGUGAUCUAAUUAUUGGUUAAAAGGUUAG
rnacentral:rRNA from 1 species